UCAUCACAGAUCACGGAGGGAAGCAGGAACCUGUUCAUCAUGUUCACUUUUGUACUUGUAUUGCUGACUUUAACUCAAGGUAGCAGAGCUAAAGAUGCCAUCACUCCAUACAGUGAUGCAGCAUUUGCUACUGAGACUGAGAGUGUAAAACUUUCUUGUAACUACACUGGUUCUGUUGAGAGUCUUCACUGGUAUCGACAAUAUCCAGGUUCACCACCACAGUUCCUCAUACUGGACUACUAUGGAACAAAGACUCAAGCUGAUCCUCCAGUUUCUGGAAUAUCCAUUAGCCACAGAAAAGAAGCCAGUAGUGUGGAUCUGGAGAUCUCCUCUGCUAAAGUGACAGACUCUGCUGUGUAUUACUGUGCUCUGAGGCCCACAGUCACAGGAAACACUCCACACACCAUACAAAAACCUGAAAAACUUACAGCACAAAUUUGCAAUGAUGUAGCCAUCUUGACAAUAUAUAAUUGAGCUUUUGAAUAACUAUUUGAUUAGUAAUUUACUGUGAGCUUUUUAUUAAAAAAUA